GUAAGAAUGAAGUGGAUCUCUCACUCCAUUCAUGGUCUCCAGAGGGUUCAGUCAGGUCACUUGGUGUCUGCAACAUAACAUUACGGUGUCAAAAUAUUCAGCAUUCUUCAUUCUGACCAGUUAAGAAAUGAAUAAACAUUAAUUAUCAUUGAACAUUGCUCACGGGAGAGUUUGGGAUGAAUAUACCACACUAUAGAAAGUUAACACUGUUCAGUUCUGUGGAACAGCAAUAUGGGGACAUUCGAACACAGGCUCUCCAGAGUUAGGUUAAGACAAAAGUCAUGUCACCUGAAACACACUCAGGUUUUUCAGGUCUAAAGAAAUAUGAGGACAUGACGACUGAAAUCACGGAGAGUCCAUGUUUCUGAUUUAUAACUUCUCCUGUGUUUGUCAAAGAAAGCUGAAAACUCAAACCUAGUAUAUCAUGAUAAGAAGUAGUAACCUG